AACGAACGCUGGCGGUAUGCCUAACACAUGCAAGUCGCACGAGAAAGUACUUCGGUAUGAGUAGAGUGGCGCACGGGUGAGUAACACGUAGGUGACCUUCCGAAUAGUGGGGGAUAACUCGGAGAAAUCCGGGCUAAUACCGCAUAUGUACGACAAAUCUGAGAGUAGUCGUAGAAAGAAUGCCUCUACUUGUAAGCAUUCGCUAAUCGAUGGGCCUGCGGAGCAUUAGCUUGUUGGUGGGGUAAUGGCCUACCAAGGCUACGAUGCUUAACGGAUCUGAGAGGAUGAUCCGUCACACUGGAACUGAGACACGGUCCAGACUCCUACGGGAGGCAGCAGUGGGGAAUAUUGCGCAAUGGACGCAAGUCUGACGCAGCAAUACCGCGUGAGUGAGGAAGGCCU
rnacentral:rRNA from 1 species